rnacentral:ncRNA from 1 species
AACUCUGGAGAGGCUCUGCGCUUUGGCAGAGCGCCGAAGGUGUACGGCGGAUGCCAAAUCCGUUAAUCUCUCAGGCAAAAGGACAGAGAUGC